CGAACGCUGGCGGCGUGCUUAACACAUGCAAGUCGAAUGGGAUCCAUGUUGUAGCAAUACUUCGGAAGAUCUAGUGGCGAACGGGUGAGGAACACGUGAGGAACCUGCCCCGGACUUCGGGAUAACAGUUGGAAACGAUUGCUAAUACCGAAUACCUCUGCGAAGUGGCAUCACUUUGCAAAGAAAGAAUUUCGGUCCGGGAGGGUCUCGCGGCCUAUCAGCUAGUUGGUGGGGUAACGGCCUACCAAGGCAUCGACGGGUAGCUGGUCUGAGAGGAUGAUCAGCCACACUGGGACUGAGACACGGCCCAGACUCCUACGGGAGGCAGCAGUGGGGAAUCUUGUGCAAUGGGCGAAAGCCUGACACAGCAACGCCGCGUGCGGGAAGAAGGCCUUCGGUCGUAAACCGCUUUCAGCAGGACGAAAUGACGGUACCUGCAGAGAAGGUGCGGCAACUACGUGCCAGGAG
rnacentral:rRNA from 1 species